GACGAACGCUAGCGGCGUGCUUAACACAUGCAAGUCGAACGAAAAGAGGGAAAGAGCUUGCUCUUUCCGGAAUUGAGUGGCAAACGGGUGAGUAACACGUAAACAACCUGCCUUCAGGAUGGGGACAACAGACGGAAACGACUGCUAAUACCGAAUAAGUUCCAAGGGCCGCAUGGCCCAUGGAAGAAAAGGUGGCCUCUACCUGUAAGCUAUCGCCUGAAGAGGGGUUUGCGUCUGAUUAGCUGGUUGGAGGGGUAACGGCCCACCAAGGCGACGAUCAGUAGCCGGUCUGAGAGGAUGAACGGCCACACUGGAACUGAGACACGGUCCAGACUCCUACGGGAGGCAGCAGUGGGGAAUCUUCCGCAAUGGGCGAAAGCCUGACGGAGCAACGCCGCGUGAGUGAUGACGGCCUUCGGGUUGUAAAACUCUGUGAUCCGGGACGAAAAGGCAGAGUGCGAAGAACAAACUGCAUUGACGGUACCGGAAAAGCAAGCCACGGCUAACUACGUG
rnacentral:rRNA from 1 species